AAUAGAUACCCGGGUAGUCCACGCCGUAAACGAUGAGUGCUAAGUGUUGGGGGGUUUCCGCCCCUCAGUGCUGCAGCUAACGCAUUAAGCACUCCGCCUGGGGAGUACGGUCGCAAGACUGAAACUCAAAGGAAUUGACGGGGGCCCGCACAAGCGGUGGAGCAUGUGGUUUAAUUCGAAGCAACGCGAAGAACCUUACCAGGUCUUGACAUCCCGGUGACCACUAUGGAGACAUAGUUUCCCCUUCGGGGGCAACGGUGACAGGUGGUGCAUGGUUGUCGUCAGCUCGUGUCGUGAGAUGUUGGGUUAAGUCCCGCAACGAGCGCAACCCUUAUUCUUAGUUGCCAUCAUUCAGUUGGGCACUCUAAGGAGACUGCCGGUGAUAAACCGGAGGAAGGUGGGGAUGACGUCAAAUCAUCAUGCCCCUUAUGACCUGGGCUACACACGUGCUACAAUGGACGGUACAAACGGUUGCCAACCCGCGAGGGGGGGCUAAUCCGAUAAAACCGUUCUCAGUUCGGAUUGUAGGCUGCAACUCGCCUACAUGAAGACC
rnacentral:rRNA from 1 species